CUGAACCACUGCGUGGACGAAGACGAAUAUGGGCGAAGAUGGAAAAGCUGUCGGUGCCCAGAUCCAUGUCCUGUGCAUUGAGAAAAUGUGAGGCCCUAAGGGUGGCACAUCUGUGAUAUCGGCCAGAGUUGGCCCACUAUACCAAAAUAUACAUUUUCAAUGCGCCUUGUUACUACUCAAAGAGAGCUUUAGCAGGAUUAGGGCACCUGCCAAGUGGUUACACAUGCGACUUUUACUCGCUUCUUGGAACGACCUGAAAGUCAGUUGGGAUGUUUGUGACGUUUUGGUCCCGACGACACACGAGCGGAUGAGGUCCAUCCGUUGCUGCAAGAUAUCGGGUCAAAGAUGGUCAGAAA